UGAGGAAUAUUGGUCAAUGGGCGCGAGCCUGAACCAGCCAAGUAGCGUGCAGGAUGACGGCCCUAUGGGUUGUAAACUGCUUUUGUAUGGGGAUAAAGUCAAUCACGUGUGAUUGUUUGCAGGUACCAUACGAAUAAGGACCGGCUAAUUCCGUGCCAGCAGCCGCGGUAAUACGGAAGGUCCGGGCGUUAUCCGGAUUUAUUGGGUUUAAAGGGAGCGUAGGCCGGAGAUUAAGUGUGUUGUGAAAUGUAGACGCUCAACGUCUGACUUGCAGCGCAUACUGGUUUCCUUGAGUACGCACAACGUUGGCGGAAUUCGUCGUGUAGCGGUGAAAUGCUUAGAUAUGACGAAGAACUCCGAUUGCGAAGGCAGCUGACGGGAGCGCAACUGACGCUUAAGCUCGAAGGUGCGGGUAUCGAACAGGAUUAGAUACCUUGGUAGUCCGCACAGUAAACGAUGGAUGCCCGCUGUUGGUACCUGGUAUCAGCGGCUAAGCGAAAGCAUUAAGCAUCCCACCUGGGGAGUACGCCGGCAACGGUG
rnacentral:rRNA from 1 species